rnacentral:lncRNA from 10 species
GUGUGUGGCCGCAGCCCUGGCCGUGACCGUGGCCGUCCAAAACCCAGGUGGCGGUUUGUCACUCUAUGAACCCGCCUGCCGUGUUUCCGUGCCCCCGUACGAGGUCUGGGAUGGGACCCUGUGCUUUGGCAGGGAAAUGACUUGGUCCAGAAACCUGAAGUCUCUGCUACUCACCGGCUCGGUGACUCUGACCAAAUGGUUCAAAUUUCAUAACAAUUUUCCUCUUAGCAAGACAAAAUUUUCUUAAGAGCAGUGUUCUGACUCGGUAGCUGGGAAAAUGGCUCAUAGGAAAAUUGUAUGAAAAUUAUAUGAUCCCAGAAAGAGCUUGGGUUGAAUUCCUUCCUGACGUCUGCUGGUUGGAAGAGGCAGCGUAACAAAGGAUGGCCUUACUGCGAGAAGCGCUGCAGUUACUGCAACUUCAACAAGUACAUCCCUCGCCGCCUGGAGGAGGCUGCCAUGCAGAAGUGUCUGGUGACCGAAGCUCAGACGCUGCUGCGGCUCAGCGGGGUGCAACGGGUGGAGUCUGUGUUCUUUGGUGGGGGGACCCCCAGUCU